UACGUAGGGGGCAAGCGUUGUCCGGAUUUAUUGGGCGUAAAGAGCGUGUAGGCGGCCUUACAGGUCAGCUGUGAAACAUCGAGGCUCAACCUCGAGACGUCGGUUGAAACCGUAAGGCUAGAGUCCGGAAGAGGAGAGCGAGUACCGUUCUGGUGAUGAGCGGUGAAAUGCGCAGAUAUCAGGAGGAACACCGAUGGCGAAGGCAGGUCUCUGGGCCACUACUGACGCUGAGAAGCGAAAGCAUGGGGAGCGAACAGG
rnacentral:rRNA from 1 species